GACGAACGCUGGCGGCGUGCCUAAUACAUGCAAGUAGAACGCUGAAGGAGGAGCUUGCUUCUCUGGAUGAGUUGCGAACGGGUGAGUAACGCGUAGGUAACCUGCCUGGUAGCGGGGGAUAACUAUUGGAAACGAUAGCUAAUACCGCAUAAUAGUAGAUGUUGCAUGACAUUUGCUUAAAAGGUGCAAUUGCAUCACUACCAGAUGGACCUGCGUUGUAUUAGCUAGUUGGUGGGGUAACGGCUCACCAAGGCGACGAUACAUAGCCGACCUGAGAGGGUGAUCGGCCACACUGGGACUGAGACACGGCCCAGACUCCUACGGGAGGCAGCAGUAGGGAAUCUUCGGCAAUGGACGGAAGUCUGUCCGAGCAACGCCGCGGGAGUGAAGAAGGUUUUCGGAUCGUAAAGCUCUGUUGUAAGAGAAGAACGAGUGUGAGAGUGGAAAGUUCACACUGUGACGGUAUCUUACCAGAAAGGGACGGCUAACUACGUG
rnacentral:rRNA from 1 species